UCCGGGGGGUGCUAUCGUUAUUCGGAAUCAUUGGGCGUAAAGGGCGCGUAGGCGGUCUUUUAAGUCAGAUGUGAAAGCCCUCGGCUUAACCGAGGAAGUGCAUUUGAUACUAAGAGACUUGAGUAUGGGAGAGGGAAGCGGAAUUCCUGGUGUAGCGGUGAAAUGCGUAGAUAUCAGGAGGAACACCGGUGGCGAAGGCGGCUUCCUGGACCAAUACUGACGCUGAGGCGCGAAGGCGUGGGGAGAAAACAGG
rnacentral:rRNA from 1 species